rnacentral:rRNA from 1 species
CAGUAGCCGCGGUAAUACGAGGGGUGCAAGCGUUAUUCGGAUUGAUUGGGUGUAAAGGGUGUGCAGACGGCUUAUUAAGUCACUUGUUAAAUUCUUCGGCCUAACUGAAGGUCUGCAAGUGAUACUGAUGAGCUAGAGGGUGGAAGAGAGAAGUGGAAUUCUCGGAGUAGCGGUAAAAUGCGUAGAUCUCGAGAGGAACACCAAUGGCGAAGGCAGCUUCUUGGUCCAUUCCUGACGUUCAUACACGAAAGCGUGGGGAGCGAACAGGAUUAGAUACCCCUGUAGUCCCUGUCUCUUAUAC